rnacentral:lncRNA from 1 species
GGCCACUCGCUAUCAGAUUGACAAUCAUAGAUUAAUCGAGAAACCAUUGAAGAAGGAUUCUAUGGCUCCCCUGCUGCUAGCUUUGAAAUACUCAUAAAUCACAACUACUUUAAGAAGGAUUCCAUUAAAGAAGAAUAUCAUUUUGGGCCUAUUACUAUGAUCAUGCUCGAAAAUAAUCAGUUUGCAACAAUGAAGAUCAUCCAAAGGGCUGACAUUUGGCCUUAAUUCCACUGUAAUUGCAAAACUUGAUAGAAUAAUUGAGCCAAGAACAUCUUGCAACGGUAAACUGCAACUGUGACUAUCUUUUAAUAUUGGCAACAAGAAUCUCAGAGUUGUUUCUCUUAAUUGAUCUUCGACACUAGAGUCUCAACAUAUUUCCACUAGUCAGCAACUGUAAAUUGAUGGAGUAGCCAAAUGAGCAUCGCCUCACAACACAACGAGCAUAGCCACUAAGUUGAAUUCAUGAAUUUGGGAUUUUGAACGAAUGUAUCAAAAAGCAGUAAUAAAACAACACACUAUAAUUUUAAUGGAGUAAAAGCGAAACAUUCAAGUAUGCUACUAGCUUCGAGAUUUGCAACAAAGUCAACUGAGGGUUUCAUUUGCUACAUAAACACAAAGACUUGGUUUGAUAAAAAUUGAUGUACAUACCACGUUCCCAGAUUCAAUUUUUAUCGGCUGAUGCACAGAGAAUCUCUCCAGAGCAGUUUACUUACUGGUCAAGGAUUCUGUGAAAAGGAAAACGGAAGAGAGAGAGAAGCAAGAAGCUAGAGGGAGAUAAAGGUGUUGGGUGACUUGGGUUGGCUAUUGCCUAUUGACAAAUUGAUAAAACUCAUCUCUGUAACUUUCAAUUAAAUUAAUCUUCAACAAAAAUACAAGAUUUUGUUUUUGCAGCCGCAAUCUGCGUCUGUAUACGAACCGAGCCGAGCCGAAUACCUUCAGGCUCGGGCUCGGCUCGCGAAAUUUUGGGUAGGCUCGAGUUCGGCUCGAGCUCGAGGUCGAGCUUUAAAAUGAGCUCGAGCUCGGCUCGACAGAAUAAUAUGAAGUUCGAGCUCGAUUCGUAUUCGGUUCGUUAAUUAUUCGUUUAUCUCGAGCUCGAACUCGGCUCGAAUUUGGCUCGAUUUUGGAGCUCGAUUUUAAAUUCGAAUUCGAGCUCGAUUUCGAAUUCAGGAGAAUUGGAGAAUUGUGGCUCUUUCACUGACGCAACUUACGCGGUGUGGUGUGAGUCGGGGUGGUCGGGAACGAAUGAAGGAGGCGGUGCUGUUGUUGUAGAGUGGAUGGCGGCACUGCUUCUGUUAUCGCCGACUCGCCGAGAGAUAGGAGAAUUGUGGCUCUUUCACUGAGCGCCCGACUGAGACAGAGGAAGGCGGCGGAGUUGUUGUUGUAGAGGAGAAGGCGGCGCUGCGAACUGACGACGCUGUCGCCGAGAGAGAAGAGAUGUGCGGUGGCUGAAUUGUGAAGUUGUGGAGGAGAUGUGCGGCGCAGCGGAGCUGUUGUCGAGAAUUCAAAUUGAAGUCUGUAGGGUUAGGGAAGGAAUAGUCGAAUAG